AGAAACUUAGGUUAACACACCAAACCAAGGACCUUCAAAGCCCUAAAUAUGAGCACCACACCUCUUAGUUUCUG
rnacentral:tRNA from 1 species